rnacentral:rRNA from 1 species
AUUGAACGCUGGCGGAAUGCUUUACACAUGCAAGUCGAACGGUAGAGGGGGCAACCCCUUGAGAGUGGCGAACGGGUGAGUAAUAUAUCGGAACGUGCCCAGUCGUGGGGGAUAACGUAGUGAAAAUUACGCUAAUACCGCAUACGAUCUAAGGAUGAAAGCGGGGGAUCGCAAGACCUCGCGCGAUUGGAGCGGCCGAUAUCAGAUUAGGUAGUUGGUGGGGUAAAGGCCUAACAAGCCAACGAUCUGUAGCUUGUCUGAGAGGACGACCAGCCACACUGGAACUGAGACACGGUCCAGACUCCUACGGGAGGCAGCAGUGGGGAAUUUUGGACAAUGGGCGAAAGCCUGAUCCAGCCAUUCCGCGUGCAGGAUGAAGGCCCUCGGGUUGUAAACUGCUUUUGUACAGAACGAAAAGGUCUCUAUUAAUACUAGGGGCUCAUGACGGUACUGUAAGAAUAAGCACCGGCUAACUACGUGCCAGCCGCCGCCGUAA